AUUGAACGCUGGCGGCAGGCCUAACACAUGCAAGUCGAACGGUAACAGGAAGAAGCUUGCUUCUUUGCUGACGAGUGGCGGACGGGUGAGUAAUGUCUGGGAAACUGCCUGAUGGAGGGGGAUAACUACUGGAAACGGUAGCUAAUACCGCAUAACGUCGCAAGACCAAAAAAGGGGGACCUUUCGGGGCCUCUUGCCAUCGGAUGUGCCCAGAUGGGAUUAGCUAGUAGGUGGGGUAACGGCUCACCUAGGCGACGAUCCCUAGCUGGUCUGAGAGGAUGACCAGCCACACUGGAACUGAGACACGGUCCAGACUCCUACGGGAGGCAGCAGUGAGGAAUAUUGCACAAUGGGCGCAAGCCUGAUGCAGCCAUGCCGCGUGUAUGAAGAAGGCCUUCGGGUUGUAAAGGUACUUUACUAGCGGGGAGGAAGGGAGUAAA
rnacentral:rRNA from 1 species